rnacentral:rRNA from 1 species
AAGGAUCAUUAGCUCGUUCUCUGCAACUCCCAACCCUGUGAACCAUACCCAUUCUGUUCUCGUUGCUUUCUGGCGGGCGGCCGCCCCCCCCUCCCCGGAGGGGGGGUGCUGGGCCUGCCCGCCAGGGGCGGCCUGCACGAACCUUCUAAAUUUUUUUACCUGACCGUCUGAGCACACGAUUUUUACAAAUCAAAUCACAACUUUCAACAACGGAUCUCUUGGCUCUGGCAUCGAUGAAGAACGCAGCGAAAUGCGAUAAGUAAUGCGAAUUGCAGAAUUCAGCGAGUCAUCGAAUCUUUGAACGCACAUUGCGCCUGCCAGCAUUCUGGCAGGCAUGCCUGUCCGAGCGUCAUUUCCACCCUCACGCGCCCUGUGGCGCGUGGUGUUGGGGCCUGCUCUCCCUGCCCUGGUGCGGGAGAGGCCCUGAAAGCGAGUGGCGGGCCGCCUGGUCUGGCUCCGAGCGCAGUAGAAACGCACCGUUUUUCCCCUCGCUCUGGACGCCGCCGGCGCGCCCUGCCGUCAAAACCCGCACGCGCAGCGUGCACACCUCACAAGGUUGACCUCGGAUCAGGUAGGACUACCCGCUGAACUUAAGCAUAUCAAUAAGCGGAGGA